AUCAGUGGAAAUGGUGAGAAUUGAAGCCAAUUAAAUUAGGUCAUGAGUGGGUCACCAACCCAACACCGAUCAUCCGGUUUUGGAUGGAGUCAACUUAGGUUAUGUCAUCCGAGGGCAUUUUAGUCAUAUCGUGCAUGUCAAUUCGGUCAACCCUCGAUUCUAUACCCUACCCUUAAACGCACCCUUCCCGUGGCCGGAUUCAUUUGCGGGCCCCAGCGCUGGCUUCAAUCGUAAGUACGGUGCGUCGGAAAAGCAAUCUUAUGUUUUUGUUUUGGGGAAGAGAAGUCAACCGAGAACUCGUCGAAGACCAAAUGGAUUGGCCUCUUCCUUCUAAACUUAGCUCGUGCCUUGCCAUUUCGCACCCUUCUCUUCCUUGUUUCCUCUCCCUCGCGAAUUCAUAUACCUCCACAUUCCUCCUCCAUCCUCUCGAAGGCAGAAGAGACAGGAAAAGCCGUAGGCAGAGGAAGAAGAAGAUGGAGAGCUCCAACUGCAUGGGACUCGUGGCGGUCGUCGCCGUCUCCGGCAGCAUCGCGCUCGUCGCCCUCCAGGUCCACCGGCGCCUCGCCUCGGACUUCAUCAAGAAGGUCGAGUCGGAAAUCGGUCGUGAAAGAAACCAGCCAAGGAAGAAGGUGAGGUUCGCCCCCAACGUGAUCGAGCCGUCGUCGAACAACGAGGAGUACCGGAGGCGCAAGAAGACGGCGUUGUCUCCGCCAACCAAUCGAUGACACGAAAGAAAGAAGGCAACUUGUUUGUCUUAGUUUGUUCUGCAUCUGCAACCUUCAGGUGUCUGUCGAUCCAACUACACCAUACAUGCUUGGAUUUUGUCUCAGUUGUCAGGUUCAUAGAGAAAGAAGGAAUGGUUUACAUAUCUCUCUACCGAUGAUGGCAAUUCAUCAA